rnacentral:rRNA from 1 species
AUUGAACGCUGGAGGCAGGCCUAACAAAUGCAAGUCGAGCGAGCGGCGGACGGGUGAGUAAUGUAGGGGGACUGCCCGAUAGAGGGGGAUAACUACUGGAAACGGUGGCUAAUACCGCAUACUAUCGGAUAACCCAUAUGGGAUUAGCUAGUAGGUGGGGUAAAGGCUGACCAAGGCGACGAUCUCUAGCUGGUCUGAGAGGAUGAUCGGCCACACUGUGACUGAGACACGGCCCAGACUCCUACGGAGGCAGCAGUGGGGAAUAGUGCACAAUGGGCGCAAGCCUGAUGCAGCCAUGCCGCGUGUAUGAAGAAGGCCUUAUGGUUGUAAAGUACUUUCAGCGGGGAGGCGUUACCCGCAGAAGAAGCACCGGCUAACUACGUGCCAGCAGCCGCGGUAAUAC